rnacentral:rRNA from 1 species
UACGAGGGGGAGCUAGCGUUAUUCGGAAUUACUGGGCGUAAAGCGCACGUAGGCGGCUUUGUAAGUUAGAGGUGAAAGCCCAGAGCUCAACUCUGGAAUAGCCUUUAAGACUGCAUCGCUUGAAUCCAGGAGAGGUGAGUGGAAUUCCGAGUGUAGAGGUGAAAUUCGUAGAUAUUCGGAAGAACACCAGUGGCGAAGGCGGCUCACUGGACUGGUAUUGACGCUGAGGUGCGAAAGCUAGGGGAGCGAACAGG